UGGGUUUAAGGGUCCGUAGGCGGUUUAAUAAGUCAGUGGUGAAAGCCCAUCGCUCAACGGUGGAACGGCCAUUGAUACUGUUAAACUUGAAUUAUUAGGAAGUAACUAGAAUAUGUAGUGUAGCGGUGAAAUGCUUAGAGAUUACAUGGAAUACCAAUUGCGAAGGCAGGUUACUACUAAUGGAUUGACGCUGAUGGACGAAAGCGUGGGUAGCGAACAGGAUUAGAUACCCUGGUAGUCCACGCCGUAAACGAUGGAUACUAGCUGUUGGAAGCAAUUUCAGUGGCUAAGCGAAAGUGAUAAGUAUCCCACCUGGGGAGUACGUUCGCAAGAAUGAAACUCAAAGGAAUUGACGGGGGCCCGCACAAGCGGUGGAGCAUGUGGUUUAAUUCGAUGAUACGCGAGGAACCUUACCAAGGCUUAAAUGUAGAUUGACCGGUUUGGAAACAGAUCUUUCGCAAGACAAUUUACAAGGUGCUGCAUGGUUGUCGUCAGCUCGUGCCGUGAGGUGUCAGGUUAAGUCCUAUAACGAGCGCAACCCCUGUUGUUAGUUGCCAGCGAGUCAAGUCGGGAACUCUAACAAGACUGCCAGUGCAAACUGUGAGGAAGGUGGGGAUGACGUCAAAUCAUCACGGCCCUUACGCCUUGGGCUACACACGUGCUACAAUGGCCGGUACAGAGAGCAGCCACUGGGCGACCAGGAGCGAAUCUA
rnacentral:rRNA from 1 species